UUAAAUUGAAGAGUUUGAUCAUGGCUCAGAUUGAACGCUGGCGGCAGGCCUAACACAUGCAAGUCGAGCGGAAACGAGUUAUCUGAACCUUCGGGGAACGAUAACGGCGUCGAGCGGCGGACGGGUGAGUAAUGCCUA
rnacentral:rRNA from 1 species